rnacentral:rRNA from 1 species
GAGUACUGUAGAGGGGGGUAGAAUUUCAGGUGUAGCGGUGAAAUGCGUAGAGAUCUGAAGGAAUACCGGUGGCGAAGGCGGCCCCCUGGACAGAUACUGACACUCAGAUGCGAAAGCGUGGGGAGCAAACAGGAUUAGAUACCCUGGUAGUCCACGCCGUAAACGAUGUCUACUUGGAGGUUGUGGCCUUGAGCCGUGGCUUUCGGAGCUAACGCGUUAAGUAGACCGCCUGGGGAGUACGGUCGCAAGAUUAAAACUCAAAUGAAUUGACGGGGGCCCGCACAAGCGGUGGAGCAUGUGGUUUAAUUCGAUGCAACGCGAAGAACCUUACCUACUCUUGACAUCCAGAGAACUUUCCAGAGAUGGAUUGGUGCCUUCGGGAACUCUGAGACAGGUGCUGCAUGGCUGUCGUCAGCUCGUGUUGUGAAAUGUUGGGUUAAGUCCCGCAACGAGCGCAACCCUUAUCCUUGUUUGCCAGCGAGUAAUGUCGGGAACUCCAGGGAGACUGCCGGUGAUAAACCGGAGGAAGGUGGGGACGACGUCAAGUCAUCAUGGCCCUUACGAGUAGGGCUACACACGUGCUACAAUGGCGCAUACAGAGGGCGGCCAACUUGCGAAAGUGAGCGAAUCCCAAAAAGUGCGUCGUAGUCCGGAUUGGAGUCUGCAACUCGACUCCAUGAAGUCGGAAUCGCUAGUAAUCGUGGAUCAGAAUGCCACGGUGAAUACGUUCCCGGGCCUUGUACACACCGCCCGUCACACCAUGGGAGUGGGCUGCAAAAGAAGUAGGUAGUUUAACCUUCGGGGGGACGCUUACCACUUUGUGGUUCAUGACUGGGGUGAAGUCGUAACAAGGUAGCGCUAGGGGAACCUGGCGCUGGAUCACCUCCUUAAACGAUGAU